rnacentral:rRNA from 1 species
AGCGGACAGAUGGGAGCUUGCUCCCUGAUGUUAGCGGCGGACGGGUGAGUAACACGUGGGUAACCUGCCUGUAAGACUGGGAUAACUCCGGGAAACCGGGGCUAAUACCGGAUGGUUGUUUGAACCGCAUGGUUCAAACAUAAAAGGUGGCUUCGGCUACCACUUACAGAUGGACCCGCGGCGCAUUAGCUAGUUGGUGAGGUAACGGCUCACCAAGGCAACGAUGCGUAGCCGACCUGAGAGGGUGAUCGGCCACACUGGGACUGAGACACGGCCCAGACUCCUACGGGAGGCAGCAGUAGGGAAUCUUCCGCAAUGGACGAAAGUCUGACGGAGCAACGCCGCGUGAGUGAUGAAGGUUUUCGGAUCGUAAAGCUCUGUUGUUAGGGAAGAACAAGUACCGUUCGAAUAGGGCGGUACCUUGACGGUACCUAACCAGAAAGCCACGGCUAACUACGUGCCAGCAGCCGCGGUAAUACGUAGGUGGCAAGCGUUGUCCGGAAUUAUUGGGCGUAAAGGGCUCGCAGGCGGUUUCUUAAGUCUGAUGUGAAAGCCCCCGGCUCAACCGGGGAGGGUCAUUGGAAACUGGGGAACUUGAGUGCAGAAGAGGAGAGUGGAAUUCCACGUGUAGCGGUGAAAUGCGUAGAGAUGUGGAGGAACACCAGUGGCGAAGGCGACUCUCUGGUCUGUAACUGACGCUGAGGAGCGAAAGCGUGGGGAGCGAACAGGAUUAGAUACCCUGGUAGUCCACGCCGUAAACGAUGAGUGCUA